AGAGUUAUGAAUGUAGUCUUGAUUUAAGCAGUUAGUCCCAAUGAGAUGGACAUAAAUCUGUUUUUCUAGAGAGUCCUGAAAAAGACACAAGAGAGCUGCUGAACAGACGGAAACAUCUGGGAACGACUUGAUCUGUUGUCUCUUAUCAACUGGAGGUUCUUUACAACAUGGAAAGAAUUAAUCAGGAGAGACCAGACUCCCCGGAGCCCAGCUGUGUGUCCAUGAGGAGUGACGAGUCAAGGCAAGGUGUAUUGGAUUAUAAAGAAGGUCACAUUUCCUCAG